UACGAAGGGGGCUAGCGUUGUUCGGAAUUACUGGGCGUAAAGCGCGCGCAGGCGGUCUUCCAAGUCAGUGGUGAAAGCCCGGAGCUCAACUCCGGAACUGCCAUUGAAACUGUAAGACUUGAGGAUGAGAGAGGUGAGUGGAAUUCCCAGUGUAGAGGCGAAAUUCGUAGAUAUUGGGAAGAACACCGGUGGCGAAGGCGGCUCACUGGCUCAUAUCUGACGCUCAGGCGCGACAGCGUGGGGAUCAAACAGG
rnacentral:rRNA from 1 species